GCAAGUUACUGCGGGUGGAUUCAAGAAGGUCCGAGGCCGAAGCCGGCACCUGGAGAAAGGUAUAGACAGCGAGUAGGAAAAAGGAUACCCGGUGAUAAUCAGCCUUCCGUGUUGUUGAACAGAUGCCAGUUUACCCGAAUUCUGAGACACAAUUGGAUGUCCUUUUCUUCUGUUUUUAAGAUUCCCAAUUUGGGAUGAUGUGCAAUUCAUGUUAGAUUUACUAUUUCUACAGUUUAUUAUAGUGGUGCCCCCCUGCAUCUUGACCAUUUGUUACUUCAGCUCCAAAUGCCGGUGAUGCCGGAGGGAAGAACAGUUCACCAGAUGUCCUGAAAUGGAAUUGGAUUGGUCUGAAAUGGCCACAAUUAUGUAUGCUGGAAUGUGCAGAGGGGGUUGUUUGGGCUUUGGCGUUAGACCCCCAGAGGUUUAUCAUCUCCAGCAUCCUUGAAGGCUGCAAGUUUGUUUUUGUCCGUGGCCAUUUGACCAUGCAGUGUAUUUAUUACAAAGGACAAGGACCCAUCCAUUUACUUCUUAUUUACUUUUAUAAAACCUUCAAUUUUCUUUGUGACUGUAUAUUUUUUUUUGUAAGUAAAGGUGAUAUAGAAAUAUUUCUGAACAACUUUUAAGGGACAGAUCAGGAAAAAUGGCACUUUAAAUAGAAAAAACUUUUUGUGGAAUAUUGCAGGAUAACUCUGACUCUGAGAAAUAUCUUGUUCAUAAAGCUAAAAUAGCAUGUAUCCCUUUUUUGACAAAUUUAAUGAUUUAUUUCGAUUUUACUGCGUU